GACAGAGGGGGCAAGCGUUGCUCGGAAUCACUGGGCGUAAAGGGCGCGUAGGCGGGAUGGCAAGUCAGUCGUGAAAUCUCUCGGCUCAACCGAGAAACGUCGGCUGAUACUGCCGUUCUUGAGGGAUGCAGAGGAGACUGGAAUUCCCGGUGUAGCGGUGAAAUGUGUAGAGAUCGGGAGGAACACCGGUGGCGAAGGCAGCCCCCUGGGUCAAGAUUGACGCUCAUGCACGAAAGCGUGGGGAGCAAACAGG
rnacentral:rRNA from 1 species